GCAUGUCCAAGGAACCCAGCCGUCCGUGCAACCACGAGAUGGCACGCAGCGCAUCGACAAUGACUUUGGGCGAUUCAGUUCCAUACUUGUAUAGUUGUAUCCUGUGCCAAACACUGAGGUAAAAUUAGUGUGGGCAUUCGGUUUAAACCGUCGGUUCGGUGUGUCCGGUAUUUGAAAGUUUCGGUGUGCAAAAAAGGAAACUGAUCGGUCCGGAUUGAAAACAAA
rnacentral:lncRNA from 1 species